AUAAUUAUUGAUACAUGUAUCCGUCCAGACUAACCCUGUUAUCAAGGUUUAGAAUUAUGGAUACACGUAUCUGUCCAGACUAGCCCUGUUAUCAAGGUUUAUAAUUAUUGAUACACGUAUCUGUCCAGACUAGCCCUGUUAUCAAGGUUUAUAGAUAUCGAUACAAGUAUCUGUGCAAAAUAACCCAGUUAUCAAGGUUUAUAAUUAUUGAUACACGUAUCUGUCCAAACUAACCCUGUUAUCAAGGUUUAUAAUUAUUGAUACACGUAUCUGUCCAAACUAACCCUGUUAUCAAGGUUUAUAAUUAUUGAUACACGUAUCUGUCCAAACUAACCCUGUUAUCAAGGUUUAUAAUUAUUGAUACACGUAUCUGUCCAAACUAACCCUGUUAUCAAGGUUUAUAAUUAUUGAUACACGUAUCUGUCCAAACUAACCCUGUUAUCAAGGUUUAUAAUUAUUGAUACACGUAUCUGUCCAAACUAACCCUGUUAUCAAGGUUUAUAAUUAUUGAUACACGUAUCUGUCCAAACUAACCCUGUUAUCAAGGUUUAUAAUUAUUGAUACACGUAUCUGUCCAAACUAACCCUGUUAUCAAGGUUUAUAAAUAUUGAUACAAGUAUCUGUGCAAAAUAACCCAGUUAUCAAGGUUUAUAAUUAUUGAUACACGUAUCUGUGCAAAAUAACCCAGUUAUCAAGGUUUAUAAUUAUUGAUACACGUAUCUGUGCAAAAUAACCCUGUUAUCAAGGUUUAUAAAUAUUGAUACACGUAUCUGUCCAAACUAACCCUGUUAUCAAGGUUUAUAAUUAUUGAUAUACGUAUCUGUCCAAACUAACCCUGUUAUCAAGGUUUAUAAAUAUUGAUACACGUAUCUGUCCAAACCAACUGAAGUUUCAUAUAUUAUUUCUAGAUAUUGUAUAUUUUUUCAAAUUAACCCCUUUUUUGUAACGUAGAUACUUUUCAGAUAGGCCAUAGAUUAUUUUCUAGGAUGUUUAGUAUUACGCAAUAAUGCAGUUAUAACUUUCAUCAAACUAUAAAUAAUGUUUUGUUUUGUAUAAACAUUUAUAUUUUGUAAUUAAUACACCUAUGCUUUCUCCAGAACAGUGAUAGUAGUUAGAACUUAAAUA